UAAUACAUGCAAGUCGAACGCGUCUCCGUUAAUGAUUUUAGGUGCUUGCACUUGAAAGAUUUAACAUUGAGACGAGUGGCGAACUGGUGAGUAACACGUGGGUAACCUGCCCUUGAAGUAGGGGAUAACACUUGGAAACAGGUGCUAAUACCGUAUAACAACCAAAACCACCUGGUUUUGGUUUAAAAGACGGCUUCGGCUGUCACUUUAGGAUGGACCCGCGGCGUAUUAGCUUGUUGGUAAGGUAACGGCCUACCAAGGCGAUGAUACGUAGCCGACCUGAGAGGGUAAUCGGCCACAUUGGGACUGAGACACGGCCCAAACUCCUACGGGAGGCAGCAGUAGGGAAUCUUCCACAAUGGACGAAAGUCUGAUGGAGCAACGCCGCGUGAGUGAUGAAGGGUUUCGGCUCGUAAAACUCUGUUGUUGGAGAAGAACAGGUGUCAGAGUAACUGUUGACAUCUUGACGGUAUCCAACCAGAAAGCCACGGCUAACUACGUGCCAGCAGCCGCGGUAAUACGUAGGUGGCAAGCGUUGUCCGGAUUUAUUGGGCGUAAAGCGAGCGCAGGCGGUUUUUUAGGUCUGAUGUGAAAGCCUUCGGCUUAACCGGAGAAGUGCAUCGGAAACCGGGAGACUUGAGUGCAGAAGAGGACAGUGGAACUCCAUGUGUAGCGGUGAAAUGCGUAGAUAUAUGGAAGAACACCAGUGGCGAAGGCGGCUGUCUGGUCUGUAACUGACGCUGAG
rnacentral:rRNA from 1 species